AAAUUUCCUUUUCAUUGAUUUGCACAGAACGUUAACAGUACAGAGAGGCAAACUGAAGCCCUUGUUUUUAUCUUUUCAUUCUUGCAGUCAACUAUAAUAUGCACCGUAUGAACUUACAAACAACAGAUUCACACAUUGCAAAACAGGAGUGCAUUUCAUCUUUAAUCGGUAGUUCCCAAUCUUGGGCACAUGGUGGAAUUAAUCGCCUGGGACGCUUCUUAAAAACACCAACGCUUGAGUCUCUUUUCCUCAGUGGGCAAGGACCUGAGAGAAACCACGAGCAAAGGUGGGAUGCCCUAGAUGUCAGUGAGAGAGGCUGCUGGCGUCUCUCCCGCCUGCCCCAGGGCCCCACACGGACCACCCACGUUCACAGUGCGCACUGGCUUGAGGAGAUCCGAGGCCGAGCCUUACCUACGCCAAGGGGAGGUCAGCCCCACGGGCACAGAUCUGCCCUAUGGUGAACGAGAAGGCCUCCUCGCCCCUCGGAAAUGAAUUAGUGCUUGAAAUGCCACAAUUGAUAGCCAUAACUUUGCUGGAAGUUUUAUUUUCCUCAAAAUGAUAAAUGUCUCCGAAGAAGGAUGCUAAACCUGAUUGGUUAUUUGUAUCCUUUGGGGCUCAUUACCUGGUAACAAAUUCUGCAACAAGGGAGCAAAGGCCAACUUAAGAGGUUUGGAUCCUCUAAUGAGAGUCUGGGAAGGAAAAGCUAUGUUGGGCUCAGUGCAGGUAGCAGCCCUCGGCUGGGGCCACAGCUCCUCCCACCAGCUCACCGCCUCCAAGUAGGAUCAGUCCUUCGUUUAAGUACUUAUAGUAAUUCUGGCUUUGAUACUCGGAGUAUUCCUAAUACAAUAAUUCUGUAAUUACACGGAUGAUGUUUCUCCCGUCUAGGUUUGGCCUUCUGUUUGUUUCCUGGGCGGGGGGGGGGGGGGGAUCAUGUCAACACAACCAGAGAAGAAGGAGACAGAAAAAUAAAAUUCAUAAGACACACAAAGAGGGGAAAAAAACAAAACAAAACCCUGCUGAAUCCUGACCAAGUGCCUAGCAUAGGCCCACGGAGCAAUCCCCUGUAUGCUAUUCGUACCACAGGGACGCGUCACUGUGGCUCAGAAUGACAAGCACCUGUCCUCGGAGAGGCUGGCCCAUGGGUUGAAGCACUUAGCACAUUCUGAGUGCUCUGUAAACGCGGAGGGUACGAGAUGAUCUUCAGAGGAUGUCUCCUCAGAGGAAGGUGCUAUGCAAAUACUAGCAUUGUUAUUCUUGUAGCACAAAUUUAUAAUUGACUUUCUGUUAAACAUUGCAGCAAGUUAAAUUAAUUCAGGAUGAUUACAGUCAUUAAACAAAUGCCUGGUAAUGACUGCUUUCUUCUUUCGGCAUUCCUCAAACCACUGGGGUAAUACCAUAUAAGGCUUUGGCUCCGUUGUCAGAUUAAUUGCGAUGCGCAACCCGCGGUUCGUAACCGCGCAUGCGCACUGCUUUCUAGCAACCGGACCGUGAUUUAGGGUUACUGGCUGAUCUCCUUCACCUCCGAGAUUUUCCUAUCGCUCUUGCCAUUUGGUUAGGCACAAUUUAUGGGUUCACUACAGCAUCCAAGUGGCUUAAGGCAACUUCUACCUGUUUAAAGAAAAAAAAAAAAGGAGAAGGAGAAGGAGAAGAAGAAGUUGUGCUUUUAAAAUCAAAACGCGGGGCAGGAAUUCUCCCUCAUUGACUCAUCUGAUGCUGGAGCCAACCAACACGAUAGGGGCAGUGACGAUUUGCAGCCUCUUUGCGCCUCGGGACGGUCACGCCAAGAAUCACCUGGCAUCUCACAGCAAGCAGGACAGAAAUGGUUAAGUCCCCAAGGCUGCGAGUAAAACACUGUGCCCGAGAGCAAAGCGACGGGAGGUGUCCCCUGGCAGGUAUGGACGCACAAAGGCGGCCCUCCUUCAGCCAGGCGGUGCAUUCGAGGUCAUCUGACCGGUGCCCCACCCUGGAGACUGGCCUGACUCCGCGGAGGCCCCUGCGUGAUGACACCCUGCGAGUCAGCUGACGGCCGCGUCAGAGCCCCUGCCUCUUUGCACGCUCACGCCGGCCGGAGCCCGGCUCCUGCAGCCUCCUAGCCGCAGUGCAGCCAAGCCGAGGCCGCCAGCUAGGCACAGGGUGCCGUCCUGCUGCCACCACUCAGCAUGCCUUACGCGAGGAGUAUUUACCUUUGGCUUAGCCAGGAGCAGAGAAGCAGUCUGAAUGUGCACGGGGGCUUCUAAGUUGGCAGCGUGAAUCUGCAGCAGAGCGGCUACUGCCGGGAGCCUGGUGGCCAGACUGCCCCUCGUGGAGCGCGGCUGGGUCCCCGUCCCCUGCGGGCGCGGCCUGGGGGCGCGGCUCAGGCUCAGGCCGCGCUGCUAGACCCGCAGGAGUAAGGGCUAGGACAAAGGAGACGAUGCUGGCCGUGGUCCGGCCGGCCGGGGCCCGUGCAAGGCUCGUCCACCCAACCGAAGCCAGGGGACAGUUGAGGCUGGUCACGGGGGCUGCCGCGGGUCCCCCCUCCUCAGUUAGAACACGGUGUCAAGGAGGAAACCAGACUCACUGACCUAAUUCAAUCCCAGUCCUCUCUGGAUGCGGGGACGGCUGCCGAAUAGCAGUGACACAACCAGCCAUCAGUGGAGAAUUACUGUGAGUGCAGCCCGAGACAAGGACAGCCUGAUUCCGGUCAUCUGAUGGCUUCUUCUUAUUUUCCUAACUAAGCGUGCUCGCCAGAGCACACAGUUGUGUGCAUGAGCCUGCCUUGCGUGCGGUCUGCGUCUGCUCUGGUUGGAAAUCAGGGUGCCAGGCGAGCCCGCCUUCGUGCUGGCUCCUCUCUGCCGCUAGGAAGGGGCACGCAGACAACAAAGGAAGCAGAAAGCAUCACUUUAUCUUCACUCGUGAUGCUGGCGGGACAUAACUUCUUCGCAGUGAUGCCCUCCCGUAUGCCUGUGUGUGCGUGUGUGCGCGCGUGUUUGAAUCCAUCUAAUCGAGGAGCCUCACAGAUACCAUCGUGGAUGUGGCUUUUAAUGAUCUGGAGGAGAGAAAAAAAAAAAAAAAAAAAAAAAGGCAGCCCGUGGAGCCGGCCGCACGUUUAGGUGACUGCCAAUUCGAAAUACUUUGGUUUGUGAAGCCCGGCCCUGAGGGACCAGCUCGGUAACUGAGAAAGAGAUCGUAGAUAAAGAAAUAAAAAUGACAAGCGUAAUAAUGCAGGCUCUGCGAGAAGGCUGUCAGAGCGUGAGUUCAUGGAUGGCAAUUUCACCAGGCUGAGACUGAAUAAUUCAUAGAUUGAAAUUACCCUGCUUUUCACCUUUCCAUUUAAGCCGGCAUGAUCUGAAUCUCUAAUAAAUGUUCAAGAUAAAGUAAAACGCCAAUUUGAAUCUGAAGAGCUUUUAAAACCAGAUGCGGCACCCCGAAUCUUUCGGUAUCUUUCACAAUUAUCCUGUGAGGACCGCACUUCAUCACGAAGCGCCAUUACCAGGGAAAAUGACUGUGAUUACAAUAGCAACAAUAGAAGGCCACCAAACGAUCUCUCAUUUACCUAAUUUGCUAAGACUGACUGUGUGCUGUAAAUGCCUGUUGUGAGUCACCUUGCCUCACACCCGUGGAUCUGCCUCGCGCCGGAACAGAAGCGAGGCGGUGCGUGGAAUCAAUGCCCGAACUCUGAGAGCCUAGCAGAGGGCUCUCUCUUGGGUUGCAAUGCAUCUUUGGUUUGUGUUUUUGCGUUCUUCCCCACCCCCCCCCCUUCCCCCGGUGCUUACACUCCAAGUGCCUGUUUGGGAGAAGUGGUGAGCCUGUGGUGGACUGGGGGGUGAUGCCUUGAUGCGGGACGGCACAGAUUUGUUCAUUUACAUACCCUCUUCACUUGAACGUAUACCCACAUGCGUUUACUAGAAGGGAGGAAAGAUUCUGCUUGGGGGGAGUGGCUUAAAAAUGCAGCCCAGAUGAAGGCUAGGUCUUUGUUUCUUGCUCGAAACCCCUGUCUGCUCUCAGGUGGGAGAUCCCUUCAGGAAACUACAGUCCUGGUGUGAUGUGUUAAAAACCUCUCGGCUCGAAAAGGGGCUCCCGAGACACAUCCACUAAUCAGUCUGUGCAGCUUGUAUUAAAAGCACGUAUUUCCAACUGAGUGAUUAAAUGAAGCUUUCUUUGGCUGUGGCUGUGCCUGCUGGCCCUCCAGUGGAGUCUAACCUAAAGAGGGCUCUUUCUGACAGCCUGCACGGUCCAUGUCAGGGCAGCUGUGCCCCCGCGAGAAGGAGGCAGGGCUCAGAAAGCCUGGCCGGGGAACGGACGUUGUGCCGUCAUUUAAGAGGCCCGGCGACCCCCAGAGUUUUACUCUCAGGGGCAUGAAGACAGUGUGUGGGUUCUUGCGGAGUCAAGUGAUUUAAGUUUGAUGAGCUAAGGCAGGGUUUCUGAGGGAUGACGGUCCUCGGGGAGGAAGGUAGGUUUGAAACACAACCUGUCUAAUAUUGUUGAGUGCUCUGCUUGAGACCCUGAGCUCUGAUAUGCUUCCUAAUCCAUCAUGGUGGCUUUGGCCCUUCCCAUACACCCCCAAAUACCUUUGUCAGAAGGAGGAUGCAGGUGCCUAUCGUGCGUUAACGCUAUCGUGUGUUAGUGCUUGAUGAUCCUGCAAUUUACUGGUUUUGCCACAAGAAACAGGUGGGCAGGAGAAAGACAAGCGAAAAGUUAACCCCUCCCCCCCCACUUCUAACUGCCCGUCACUACGGAGCACCAACUGUAGUUACAAGGAGCGACUUGAGAUUUAAACACCCAGAAGCACACUCGUAGAAUCCAGCAAACUGCCUUGUGCUUUAAGACGGAACGGGUAUCAUAGAUACAGAGAACACAUCGGCGGUUACUAGAGGGGUGGGCAAGAUGGGUGGGGAUGGAUGGCAACUAGACUUUUGGUGGCGAUCACUUUGUAGUUCAUACAGACGUCAAAUUAUAAUGUCGUGUACCUGAAACUUACAUAAUGUUAUGUACCAUUUUUUUUUAUCUUAAUGAAAAACCUAACUAUAUAAACUACGUAAAAAAAGAAUGUAUAAAUUUUACCAC